CGGGGUGUAGCGCAGCCUGGUAGCGCAUCUGGUUUGGGACUAGAGGGUCGUAGGUUCGAAUCCUAUCACCCCGACCA
rnacentral:tRNA from 1 species